rnacentral:tRNA from 1 species
GCCCAGGUGGCGGAAUUGGUAGACGCGCUGGUCUCAAACACCAGUUUCUUCGGAAGUACCGGUUCGACCCCGGUCCUGGGUA